rnacentral:piRNA from 1 species
UAGAAAGUUGGUACUGAGAAAUCCUUGCUGGU